rnacentral:rRNA from 1 species
UUAAGCGACUAAGCGUACACGGUGGAUGCCCUGGCAGUCAGAGGCGAUGAAGGACGUGCUAAUCUGCGAAAAGCGUCGGUAAGGUGAUAUGAACCGUUAUAACCGGCGAUGUCCGAAUGGGGAAACCCAGUGCAAUUCGUUGCACUAUCGUUAACUGAAUACAUAGGUUAACGAGGCGAACCGGGGGAACUGAAACAUCUAAGUACCCCGAGGAAAAGAAAUCAACCGAGAUUCCCCCAGUAGCGGCGAGCGAACGGGGAGCAGCCCAGAGUCUGAAUCAGCUUGUGUGUUAGUGGAACGGUCUGGAAAGUCCGACGGUACAGGGUGAUAGUCCCGUACACCAAAAUGCACAGGCUGUGAACUCGAAGAGUAGGGCGGGACACGUGGUAUCCUGUCUGAAUAUGGGGGGACCAUCCUCCAAGGCUAAAUACUCCUGACUGACCGAUAGUGAACCAGUACCGUGAGGGAAAGGCGAAAAGAACCCCGGCGAGGGGAGUGAAAAAGAACCUGAAACCGUGUACGUACAAGCAGUGGGAGCACCUUCGGGUGUGACUGCGUACCUUUUGUAUAAUGGGUCAGCGACUUAUAUUCUGUAGCAAGGUUAACCGUAUAGGGGAGCCGCAGGGAAACCGAGUCUUAACUGGGCGUUAAGUUGCAGGGUAUAGACCCGAAACCCGGUGAUCUAGCCAUGGGCAGGUUGAAGGUUGGGUAACACUAACUGGAGGACCGAACCGACUAAUGUUGAAAAAUUAGCGGAUGACUUGUGGCUGGGGGUGAAAGGCCAAUCAAACCGGGAGAUAGCUGGUUCUCCCCGAAAGCUAUUUAGGUAGCGCCUCGUGAAUUCAUCUUCGGGGGUAGAGCACUGUUUCGGCUAGGGGGUCAUCCCGACUUACCAACCCGAUGCAAACUACGAAUACCGAAGAAUGUUAUCACGGGAGACACACGGCGGGUGCUAACGUCCGUCGUGAAGAGGGAAACAACCCAGACCGCCAGCUAAGGUCCCAAAGUCAUGGUUAAGUGGGAAACGAUGUGGGAAGGCACAGACAGCCAGGAUGUUGGCUUAGAAGCAGCCAUCAUUUAAAGAAAGCGUAAUAGCUCACUGGUCGAGUCGGCCUGCGCGGAAGAUGUAACGGGGCUAAACCAUGCACCGAAGCUGCGGCAGCGACACUAUGUGUUGUUGGGUAGGGGAGCGUUCUGUAAGCCUGCGAAGGUGUGCUGUGAGGCAUGCUGGAGGUAUCAGAAGUGCGAAUGCUGACAUAAGUAACGAUAAAGCGGGUGAAAAGCCCGCUCGCCGGAAGACCAAGGGUUCCUGUCCAACGUUAAUCGGGGCAGGGUGAGUCGACCCCUAAGGCGAGGCCGAAAGGCGUAGUCGAUGGGAAACAGGUUAAUAUUCCUGUACUUGGUGUUACUGCGAAGGGGGGACGGAGAAGGCUAUGUUAGCCGGGCGACGGUUGUCCCGGUUUAAGCAUGUAGGCUGGUUGUCCAGGCAAAUCCGGAUAAUCAAGGCUGAGGUGUGAUGACGAGGCACUACGGUGCUGAAGUAACAAAUGCCCUGCUUCCAGGAAAAGCCUCUAAGCAUCAGGUAACAUUAAAUCGUACCCCAAACCGACACAGGUGGUCAGGUAGAGAAUACCAAGGCGCUUGAGAGAACUCGGGUGAAGGAACUAGGCAAAAUGGUGCCGUAACUUCGGGAGAAGGCACGCUGGUGUGUAGGUGAAGUCCCUGCGGAUGGAGCUGAGACCAGUCGAAGAUACCAGCUGGCUGCAACUGUUUAUUAAAAACACAGCACUGUGCAAACACGAAAGUGGACGUAUACGGUGUGACGCCUGCCCGGUGCCGGAAGGUUAAUUGAUGGGGUUAUCCGUAAGGAGAAGCUCUUGAUCGAAGCCCCGGUAAACGGCGGCCGUAACUAUAACGGUCCUAAGGUAGCGAAAUUCCUUGUCGGGUAAGUUCCGACCUGCACGAAUGGCGUAAUGAUGGCCAGGCUGUCUCCACCCGAGACUCAGUGAAAUUGAACUCGCUGUGAAGAUGCAGUGUACCCGCGGCAAGACGGAAAGACCCCGUGAACCUUUACUAUAGCUUGACACUGAACAUUGAGCCUUGAUGUGUAGGAUAGGUGGGAGGCUUUGAAGCGUGGACGCCAGUCUGCGUGGAGCCAACCUUGAAAUACCACCCUUUAAUGUUUGAUGUUCUAACGUUGGCCCCUGACCGGGGUUGCGGACAGUGUCUGGUGGGUAGUUUGACUGGGGCGGUCUCCUCCCAAAGCGUAACGGAGGAGCACGAAGGUUAGCUAAUCCUGGUCGGACAUCAGGAGGUUAGUGCAAUGGCAUAAGCUAGCUUGACUGCGAGCGUGACGGCGCGAGCAGGUGCGAAAGCAGGUCAUAGUGAUCCGGUGGUUCUGAAUGGAAGGGCCAUCGCUCAACGGAUAAAAGGUACUCCGGGGAUAACAGGCUGAUACCGCCCAAGAGUUCAUAUCGACGGCGGUGUUUGGCACCUCGAUGUCGGCUCAUCACAUCCUGGGGCUGAAGUAGGUCCCAAGGGUAUGGCUGUUCGCCAUUUAAAGUGGUACGCGAGCUGGGUUUAGAACGUCGUGAGACAGUUCGGUCCCUAUCUGCCGUGGGCGCUGGAGAAUUGAGGGGGGCUGCUCCUAGUACGAGAGGACCGGAGUGGACGCAUCACUGGUGUUCGGGUUGUCAUGCCAAUGGCACUGCCCGGUAGCUAAAUGCGGAAGAGAUAAGUGCUGAAAGCAUCUAAGCACGAAACUUGCCCCGAGAUGAGUUCUCCCUGAGACUUUAAGUCUCCUGAAGGAACGUUAAAGACGAUGACGUUGAUAGGCCGGGUGUGUAAGCGCAGCGAUGCGUUGAGCUAACCGGUACUAAUGAACCGUGAGGCUUAACCUU